GUGGUAUUCUCUCCGUCCGAAAAUAUUUGUCAUCAAAAUGAAUAAAAAAAGAUGUCUAAAACUAAAAGAUGUCUAGAUACAUCCCUCUUUAUCCAUUUUGAUGACAAGUAUUUUCGGAGGAGGGAGUAUUUG
rfam:Triticum aestivum genome assembly, contig: Triticum_aestivum_CS42_TGACv1_scaffold_051218_1BS